GUGUAAAAAAAAAACCCUGUAUAUAACAGCACGUGUCUGUGUGCAUGCAGGCGCCUUGCAAGCUGAUGUGGGUGUGAGGUGGAUGUGCAUCGGGCCUCGGAGCAUGCUGCAUGCGAAUUGCUAGGCAAGUUGCUUGCGGGCUUGGCUUGAGGAAAAAUCGGGGCUGUGAACAUAGCUUUGAAUCUUGAUCUUGAUUAUACACACAACUAUAAACACGAAAUGGGGCCAGGAAUCUCACCGACAAAUAGCAGGAAAACACCUACAACAAGACAGAUCGCGGACAAAGGGAAAGGUAAGAGAGAUGCAGAGAGGGCGGAGAAGGGAAAAAUGGCCAGGGCAGAAGACAAAGAAAGACGAGUAGUAAUGAGCAAGAAAAUGGAAACAGAGAAAGCCAUUGGAAAACUAGACAACAGUGUCUUUGAGGCUUUUGAACCAGCACACAGAUCAUCAGUUGACCUGAGUAAGGAGGCAAUAUGCAAGGGAGGGCCUGGGCACAAAUGUGGUCUUCCAGUUGGCUACGAAGAUGAGGGAGUGGAAUGUGACCUUUGUCAUCGUUGGUUCCACGCAGCAUGUCAGGAGAUACAUACGGAAGCAUACAAAGCACUCCAGGAACACCCUGACACACUGGCAUGGAUGUGCAAAGCCUGCAGAAACGAGUUAAAGAACAGGAAGUAUCCACACUCAGAAACUGAGUACAGCAAGUUGGAAGCCAAAAUCGAUCAGUUGGCAGAGGCGCUAAAAGACCAAACAAGAAUAAUAAGGAAGUCAGCAAUCGAAAAUGAACAAGCCAUUAGAGAAGUAGGAGAGUUUCAAGGGCGCAAUAUUUCCACAUUGCAAGAGCAGAACGAAGCAAUGAUACAGUGUGUAGAGGAAAUGAAGAGCAGGGAAACGGAGAAGAAGACGGAGAUCAGGAAGACGUAUGCAGAUGUCACAAAAGUGGUAGAAGAAAUAAAAGAACAACAAGAAGUCAUCAAGGGUAACUCUGAAGGUAUCAAAAGAGUGAUACAGAACAAAGAGUUGGAAGAAAGGGCAACAAAUGUGCUGAUACACAAUCUCCCAGAGAGUAAAGCAGAGAAAGGAGAAGACAAAAAACAGGAAGACAUAGUGAAGUUCAAAGAAAUAGCAGAUGCUCUGGGAGUGCGAGACUUUGAAAUUCAGAAGAUUGUCAGAUUGAGGCAAAAACCUACAACGGAGAAAGGAGAUGAAAGAAACGCAAAUCAGAACCAGAAAACGAAACCAAGAAUACUCCUGCUGAAGCUGAGAUCAAAGGAGCACGUGGAGCUUCUGUACAAAAGGAGGUUUGAUCUCAAGAGCAAAGGCAUAGAAAAUACCUACAUUACAAGGGACCUACCUCCCGAAGAAAGGGAGAAGCAGAGAAGACUGAGAGAGGAGUGGCUCAAGAAAGGGCGAGAAACCCAUGUCAUUUCUCGGGGGAGGGUUGUCGAAAGGAAGGGAAACAAAGUAACACAGUAAGAAAGAAAGAAAGCAAGGAUGGAAGGUACAGGAAACAAACAACAAACAAGGGGUCGAAGACCGACAACCAAGAAAGUAGAAAGGUUUACAAAUUGAAUCUCAUUAACAUACAAGGAUUAACAAAGCAAAAGCUGGCAGAACUAGAAGAAUUGUUAGCCUACAGUUGUGACAUCUUAUGUAUUACUGAGACCCACCAGAGAUAUGAUAAACUUGAGAUUGACAAGAACUUGAUCAAGAUAGAGAGCAUGAGAAAACAAAAAGACAAGAAAGGAGGAGGGCUCAUGUUUUUGUAUAAACAAAACAGUGGUGUCGCUUUAAGUAAAGCCCCUUCAGAGAACGAAGAUGUUUUGGAAGUGAGGGGAAGUAUAUUGAACAAACAGGUUAGGAUAAUACUUGUUUACAUGUCAGUUGAAACAAAACCAGAAGACAAAACACGAAAUGAGAAAAUCAAACAAGAGCUUGAAGAGAAGCUAGAAGAAAGUCCAGACAUGGCAACAAUGUUGUUGGGGGAUUUUAAUGGACAUGUAGGGUUCCUAGGAAGCCAAAAAGAGAAUAGGAACGGAAAAUUUGUCAUUGAUGUGAUAAACAAAAACAAUAUGAUUUUACUGAAUGGUGAUGACAUAUGUGAAGGCUUGUAUACAUGGGGAAGUAAAGAAUACAGAAGUGUUAUUGACUAUGUGCUGGUCAACAGCAAGAUGCAUCAGUCUAUCCUUAAGAUGAAAAUUGAUGAAAGUCAAGAACUACUAGAUCUAUCAGAUCACAACAUGAUCACAGUGUUUUUCAAAGAUGAAAAGUCACUGAGUCUCAAUAAAGCUAAAUGGAAAGAUGAAUACUUCUUUAAGACAGACCAAGAAUCAUUGUCGGGCUUCGUGCAAUAGGUACUACAGAGAAUAGAAGCUGAUAACAUAUGCCUAAUGGAAGAUCUCAAUGUGAUAAUGAAGGAUGUGGCAGAGAAAUUGCUUACAAGAAGGUACAGAAGAAAAACUGACAGAAAGAAUGAAAAAAUCAAAGAAAAACCAUGGAUGACCGAAGAAAUACGGAAACAAAUCAAGCAAAGGAAAGCCUUCAACAGACUCAGGAGAAAUGCAAAGUCAGAAGAAGAAAAGAGCAGAUUAUAUGAAAAAUAUUAUGAGCAGAAACGACUGACAAAGCUACUCAUCAAGGAAGAAAUAGCAAAGCAUGAAAAGAAAGUGACUGACGAAAUACGUUAUAGUAGCUACAAAAGCAAGGCACUUUGGGAGAAUAUCAACAAGCUUAAAGGAAAGCAAAAGGAUAACAGUCCAGUUCGCCUAUUCACAGAAGCUGGACAAAUGCUGCAAGGAGAAGAAGAAAAGGAAAACUUAGCAAGUGUCUGGAAGAAAAUCUAUCAAAGACAUGAAAACAAGUUAGAAGAAGUGUGGAACGAUAGGGCGAAGCUAACCUAUACUGCAGAUCUGGAGAAAGAGAAACAGGACCAGAUACAAAUAAAAGGAUAUAGUUUCCCAAUCACACUGAGAGAACAUAUGGAUAUGGCCAUGAACAGUAGGAAGAGGAUGAAGAAGAUGGAAGAUAUACAAAUAACUGAGGAAGAAGUCACCAAAUGUAUAGGCAGGCUCAAGAACAAGUCAGCGGCAGGACCAGAUGAACUCAAGCCAGAACUAUACAAAGCUUUGAUAAAAAAUGACAAAUGCUUGAAGAUACUGACAGGCUGCUACCAAGAAGUCCUCGAGAGAAGUGACACGCCAUCAGAAUGGAAGAUAUCAAGGACGAAAAUGAUACCAAAGACGUCUAAGCCAACUGCCAAAGACUUGAGACCAAUUGCUUUAACGAAUGUGUCAUAUAAGAUCUACAUGUCAAUUCUAAAACAGCGACUAGAAGAUCAUCUAGAAAGCGCAGAGCAAAAGUUAGAGACACAAGCAGGGUUUACGAGAGGAGGAAGGAUAGAGGACAACCUUUUCCUAUUACAGUACUGUGUGGAAGAAAGCUUUAAAAUGAAGGCACCUCUGAUUGUUACUUCAAUUGAUUACAGCAAGGCGUUUGAUUCCAUCGAUAGAGCUAGGAUGGUAGAGGUGCUCAUGAAAUACAAGAUUCACCCCAAAAUGAUUGAUGCUGUGGCAGCCACAUACCAAGGAGACAGAACCUGGAUUGAACUAAAUGAGAACAUUAAGUUAGAGAUUUUAGUAACAAGUGGUAUACGGCAAGGGUGUACAGGAUCAACUGCCUUCUUCAAGCUCAUGACUUAUAUCAUCACAAAAGUAAUGGAGGCAACAGAAGCAGGGUUCAGAAGCUGCAAAUUUACGCUGCCAAUCCUAUUCUUUGCUGACGACGGGCUCCUACUGAACCAUUCUAUUGAAGAAACAGAGACUAGCAUCAGAAGACUGACAGCAAUUAGCAAGGAGUGUGGACUGGACAUAAACAAGAAUAAGAGCAACAUUAUCACAUUUAAUCUGAAAGAACAGCACAGAAGCAUAGAAGAUAUUGAAGUAAAAGAAAACAUAAAAUACUUAGGUCUGAAAGUAACAAAUACAAGGGAUGUGUUCAAAGGGCAGAAAAGAAUCAUGAUUGAAAAGGCACAAAGAAUGGCAAACAUGACCUAUUCAGUAAUUUCAAAAUCAUGCAACAGACUGCUGAUUGGUAAGACCUACUGGAAAUCCCUAGCACUGCCAUCAAUACUGUACGGCUCCAGUGUCAUGACAGUCACAGAGGAAGAGACCAAGAAGCUGCAAGUAAUCGAAAAUGGUGUCUACAGACAGAUCUUGGGGGCUCCAAAAUAUGCACCAAAUGCUGCAUUGAGAGGAGAAAUUGGAGCAUCUCUGAUGACAACAAGGAUUAAAACUGGAAGACUUCAGUACAUGAGAAGCAUAUUGCAAGGAAAAAAUCAACUACUCAAAGAGGUGUUAACAGAAAUGAUGGACGAGGGCAAGAACAAAUGGAUAAAGGUAACCUAUUCCAUUAUUAAGGAAGUCGGACUCAAAGUAAAGGAUUUGUACCAGAUAAGCAAACAAGACCUUAAAACACACAUGCAAAAAUGGGAUGGAAAGAAAUGGAAGGAGGAAUUGUUAACUAAAACUACUCUGUCCCUGUAUAUUGUCUGGAAAAAGGAGAUGAAGGAAGUAACGUUUAUUGACAACCAGCAAGCAUCAACAAUAUUUUUCCAGGCAAGAGCAAACUGUCUUCCUCUAAAUGAGCGCAAGAGAUACAAGAAAGAGGACACAAGAUGUAUGAUGUGCAAUGCAGAAAAUGAAGACCUCGCCCACUUUAUAUUGAAUUGCCCAGCCUACGAAGAAGAAAGAAAAGAAUCAAUGCAUCUUCAGAAACCCUAUGCAAAGGAUAUUUUUGGGGAUAUUUCUGUUUGAGGAGGAAGAUAUCGAAGAAAAGAAAGAAGUAUUGCUUAAGCUGUGGAAGAAAAGAAGACUGCUGGAAAUAAAACAAAGUUCCCCAUCCUAGUUGACCUUCAUCCUCCCAACACCCAAUCCUGUCCCCUAGUGAGAAUCCUAGCCACACAAACCAACCAUAACAAUGCAACCCAUCGAUCAAAGUAAAAGUUAAAGUUUAAGAAAUCAAGGAGGUGCCGAUACAAAGGCUAAACCUCCGAAAACCAUCGCAUCGCAUCGCAUCUUCGCCUCCACCUGGCCGGCUCAUCUCCAUCUGAUGGCCUCGGCCUCCAGCAGCAGCGCCCGCUCUCUGUUCGCCGAAUCGCGCACCAAGCUAGUCGAACGGGUGGCGGGGAACGUGGAGGCCUGUGGGUCCGUGUGUCGACAGGUGGUGCGAGGCUCCAGGUCUCACGAGACACUGCUGGCGGCAGCGCGCGCCACUGCUGCUCAGGAGUCAGCCAUCGACCACACGUGCGGAACAGUUCAGAAGUUACGCAUUCUCGCCACUCACUUGGGCUACCAGUGGGAGUCGAUCGCUCGCUCCGCUCACCAGAUUCCGCCGCUGGCUGAGCAGGCGAGGGCACUCCCGCCGCCCAACUGAGGAGUGAGGGCACUCCCACCACCCAACUGAGCAGGCGAGGGCACUCCCGCCACCCAACUGAGCAGGCGAGGGCACUCCCACCGCCAAACUGAGCAAGACGAGCCUUUACGACCGGACAGACACGGUUAGAGCCGCUCUUCACACCACAAUGCAGCUAACUGUCGAGUUCAGCGGCGGUGCUGAACUCCUCUUCGGGAACGUCAAACAGCACAGAGUAACUCUUCCAGACCGGGGCGACGGAGACUCGGUGUGGACGAUGGAGGGCCUGCUGCCCUGGCUGAGGGAUAACUUGCUGAAGGAGCGGCCAGAGCUCUUCAUGCAGGGGGACACGGUUCGUCCCGGGAUCCUGGUUCUGGUGAAUGACGCAGACUGGGAGCUUCUCGGUCAGCUGAGCUACAAACUGCAGCCGGAUGACACGGUCGUGUUCAUAUCAACACUCCACGGCGGGUAGUCGCUUCGCCCGGGAUGACAGAAGGUAAAGCUGGCUGCACUUGACUCUUCAGGGCGGUUAGGGUUGUCAUCCGUGCUGACAGGUAAAUCUGGCCGUAUAGCGGCUAGUCUAGCCGUUUGGACUGGUGAGAGCUAGGCUGGUCCCAUCAGACACUUCCCUAGUGCGGUUAGCCUAGUCGCCUGGGCUGGCAGAAUGCCAGAUUGACCGUGCUUGAUCUUACUCGUCGCCUAGACGACUCCGCUGACAGGUCAAGACUUAUACAGCAUCCAACUUCACACAAGGUAACUGGCUUAUCCAGCCUGGAAAGUCUCCAUGCUGGUCGCAUUAAACAUCUAUGGAGAUCUCAAUCCUGUCGGUGUUUUCUUGACUGGACAAACGCAUUUGGGGAAAACUGGUCGCGGGAAACUUCGGUCGCGCCAUAGACAUUGGUCAGCCUGGUGCUAUGGCAUGAUGCGUGAGUCGUGACUUGCUCCAUUGUCCCGUGAUAUGUACGGGACGAAUGUGUUUUUGGGGUCACAACGCGUCAUGUGAUUCGUGAGUGCCGAUGCUGUGCCGCUUGUUUUACUGUUGUGGUUUUAUGUAUGGUGUAUGCCUAAUGUUUUGUUUCUAGAAACUUGUAAAAUGAUCGAGUAACGCGUCAAAUAAAUCAUUCUCUAGAUGAUA